rnacentral:lncRNA from 1 species
UGUGAAGGCUGAGAAACACUAUGGGAAGAGACUCUCCCAAAGUCUUGAGCCCCUGUAGACCUCAAGGUAGGGAAUGGGGCCAGACCCACAUGACAGUCUCAGCAAGGCCCCCGCCCCGCACCAACCUCUGUCUGCUGGGAGGGAGAGUUUGGUCCUGCUGCCUAGCCCAGCUGCCGAAAAUGUUUGAAUUCACAAACUCAUUAAUGACUGAAGUCAUUGGAGAGGUAGGAAGAAGAGAUCUUUGUCCAGAGAGGGAGGAAGACAUAACCAACCACAGGUGGCUAAGCCAGAGGGUUCUGGGUAUGUCCCAGGUUCUCUGGGCUGCCCAGGGGAGGGAAUGAUGGAGAAGGUCUAUGGAGGUCAGAA